UUAUACCAGGCAACAAAAUUACGUGCUGACAGCACAUUUGGUUGCGUUUCAUUUUCAAUACCCAAUUGGCGAUCCUGAUCAGCACCAUAGGGUGAUCGGGAGCAACACCAAAUCUAAAAAAAUAUGACAAAAGAUAACUUAAAGUAAACUCAUUGAACUUGAAAAUAAAUAACUAAAGUAAUUAGUUUUGGAGCUGAUAAGAAGCAAUGACAUACAGGUUUUUUUAUUUUGAAAUAUUAAGUCACAAACACACAAACCUAAACAGAAGAAUGGGAAAUAGUUUCUCCGUACUUUAUGACUUGAGAAUUGUAUAAAAGGAGCUUGGCUGAAAUGCAGCAAAUUUCAUUAUUUUCAAAAUGCCUAAUGUGAAACUAAAUACUCAACAUUUGCCAUUAUUACUGUUGUUGUUACUUGCAAUUCUGAGGGAAGCUAAUGCAACUUUCUACUUCGCGAGCAUAGGAAAUUAUUUCCAGAAUAUAUUCCAUGCCAUAUUUGAUCCCAUAGGAAAUGCAUUUUCUGGCAACAAUCGUGGAUGGAGCAAUGCCAACAUUACUUCAAGGGGAUAACUUGCCCAUUGCUUGUCCUCUUUUCCCAUUAAUUCAUUAACUUACCUCACCAAACCAAAAGGAACAGGCAAUUUGUCAAUAACAUCCACAUUGGAAUUUGGUAAAUGUUUCAAAAUAUGUUGAGCCGCGUAGAAACCUGCCGGCCCAGCGCCAACAAUACAAACUCUCGUGGAAGGGUUCUGGGCAAAAAAUCGUAUGUGCGUCAAGUUGUUUAACUGAGGUUUAUAAUUUCGUUGUAAAAUAGUUCGUAACAUUCUUAAAAUAAAUGUAAUUUAACUUCAAAUUAA